CACGGGGGGAGCAAGCGUUGUUCGGAGUCACUGGGCGUAAAGGGCGCGUAGGUGGUUCUGUAUGUCUACCGUGAAAGCGUACGGCUCAACCGUAUUUUGUCGGUGGAAACUGCAGGACUUGAGGCUGGGAGGGGCUGGUGGAAUUCCCUGUGUAGCGGUGAAAUGCGUAGAGAUGGGGGAGAACACUCGUGGCGAAGGCGGCCAGCUAGACCAGUUCUGACACUGAGGCGCGACAGCGUGGGGAGCAAACAGG
rnacentral:rRNA from 1 species